AACGUAGGAGACAAACGUUAUCCGGAGUUACUGGGCGUAAAGGGCGUGUAGGUGGUUUUGUAAGUCUGGCGUGAAAUUUUUCGGCUUAACCGGGAAAGGUCGUCGGAUACUGCAAGGCUAGAGGACGGUAGAGGCGUGUGGAAUUCCGGGUGUAGUGGUGGAAUGACGUAGAGAUCCGGAGGAACACCAGUGGCGAAGGCGACACGCUGGGCCGUACCUGACACUGAUGCGCGACAGCAUGGGGAGCAAACAGG
rnacentral:rRNA from 1 species